UGACCCCCUCUACGCUCACUGGGAGACCUGGCCUAAUGUUUAAUUUAUUUGUGGCCUUCCAAAAGUUUUUAAAAUCAUUAUUUGUAUGAUGUGAUGCCAAUCGAUCCAACUUCAGCUGUUCCUCGUUAUUUUGGCACCAUCUUAGACGCGCUUUAAAUAUCGUCUACUUUUACACAUCUCCUCAUAUAUAGGACCGGAUUUAGGCUUGUUAUAAUUUAACCAAAUUAGAAACUUGAGUCUAGCCUCCCUAUGAACCCACCAAUAUGUCUGUUCCAUCCCAUUAUGUGUUUUUGUUUAGUUGGUCUUUUGCUCCGAUUAUUGUUACAAAGAAUAGCUGACUGGCUCAAUGCAAAAACAAUAUCACUAUACAGACGAUCUAUGACUAUUCUAUGCUCUAAGUUAUUACACAAGUGAUCACAACAGUCAUGCAAUUCCUGAGGAAAAUUUAUAUCCCUUAGACGUUCAUGACAAUAUUGUGUGUAUAAUUUUAUUUCAUCCAAAUUUCUGUGAAUCCAUUUUACUUCAUUUUUACUGUUAUAUUUAUCCAUAAUACAAUUAUAUUUUGGUUUUAUUAAAUCUAAGUUACACUCUAUAACUAAAGGAUAAUGAUCAGACCAUAGGACGUCUUGUAUAACAGAUACAUUAACAAUUGUAUUUAAUGCAGAAUUCGUGACCAUGCAAUGGUCUAGCCAACGUGCUGACCCGUGCGUUUCACUGAUAAAGGUGAAAGUAUUAGAUGUAAUACCCAGCUUGUCUAUAUCCGCGCAUAUCCAAUUUUGAUCGAAACAAAAAGUCAUUAACUCACUAUAAAAAGGUUCGCCAGGGUGUGCAUUAAAGUCACCUAAUACGUAAACAGAUUCAAUGUCAUCAUUAUUAAUAAUAGCACUCACCGCGCUAAGGCAUUCUGUGAAAUCCGUCAUAUUAUCCGAUUUAUUCGUGGGCAUAUAAACACUAAAUACUAAACAUGAUCUACGCUCCAUUCGUAUUUUUAUCGCACAAACACGCGGAUUAUCGCACGGAACAACCGACACAUUCUUAAAGACACUUUUAUUCCACAAUAAAGCAACACCUCCGUGCGGUCGCCCGCGUAACAUACCUGCCGUCGUGUCAACUGCGGACGUGCCCGUGCAUCCGAAAUCCUUAUCAAUACUACUGAGAUACGGUAUGUCAUCUGGUAGUAGCCAGGUUUCUUGCAAUGCUAUUAUAUGAGACGUACGACAUAACUCGCGGAUACCUUCGAUGGAGCGCUUUACGCUUUUACAAUUAAAACUGACUAGUUUGAUUACGUAAUUAUCAUUCAUGAUGCUCACUGUGAUAGGCCGAUCACAGUAGUAUUACUGUGCAUAUCAGCUGUUCUAUGCUUAAAAUGCACGAAACGACGA